GUCGAGAAUCUUCGGCAAUGGGCGCAAGCCUGACCGAGCGACGCCGCGUGCGGGAUGAAGGCCUUCGGGUUGUAAACCGCUGUCGUAGGGGAGGAAGACCCUGUGAAGAACAGGGUUUGACCGAUCCUAGGAGGAAGGGCCGGCUAAUCUCGUGCCAGCAGCCGCGGUAAUACGAGAGGCCCAAACGUUAUUCGGAAUUACUGGGCUUAAAGAGUUCGUAGGCGGCGUGGAAAGUAGGGUGUGAAAGCCCUCGGCUCAACCGAGGAAUUGCGCUCUAAACUCCCGCGCUUGAGGAAGCUAGAGGUGAGCGGAACUGAUGGUGGAGCGGUGAAAUGCGUUGAUAUCAUCAGGAACACCGGAGGCGAAGGCGGCUCACUGGGGCUUUUCUGACGCUGAGGAACGAAAGCCAGGGUAGCGAA
rnacentral:rRNA from 1 species